GUUGGGAAGGGGUGGAAGGGUUGAAAAAAAAAAAAAAGGAUGGCGCUAGCGCCUCAGACGUAACUAUCUACGGAGAAAGAAGAGCACUAGCCAAGUAAACGCAGAAAUGUGAAAACUAUAAAAAGUAAAUUUCUGAAAGACAAGUAAACGCAGAACAAAUGAGUGUUGUUGGUAGAAAACUGGAAAGGUAGAAUUCUAGAAGACUUGUAUGCAGGGGAAGGCAUGACUAUUAAUCGUGUUAUGGAUCAUCAGUUCCCCAAUUUGGUGAAUUCUGUGAAUGACUCUGAGUUUGGUAAUGGGAUUAAUUUAGCAAGUUCAGAGCAAUCUAAUUUGGAUAUCGAAUUUGAGAAGUUCUGGAAUUCUGUGAACGGCUUUGAAUUCAAUAGUAGCGUUGUUUUUCCAAGUCUUGAGCAGCAACCUUUGAGUUCUUGUACUUUUGCUCCUCUGUAUAACGUGAGCUCAGAGGUUGAUUUUCCUGGUGAUUAUGAAUCCUAUCCUAUGCUCAAGUAUAUCAACCAGAUGCUCAUGGAGGACUUUUCGGAAGAGCAGCCAAACAUAUCCCCUGAUCCUCUAGCUCUAAAAGCUGCCGAGAAAUCAUUAUACCAUGUUCUUGGCAAGAGCUACCCUCCUUCGCCUCAUGAACCAGUGGCAGCCUUAGAUCAGAUUGCAGAAAGCUCACAGGAAUCCACUGAUAGUUGUAGUCAGCAUCAUACAGAUGGCUGUGACACUGAUACCAGUACUAUUGACAGCCGACCAAUUCUUGAUCCUGUUGAGUCAUCUGGGAAAGGACAUCAACCUUGGGAUAAGUAUUUCAAGUCAUCCUUUCAGACCAGCUCACUCGACUCUGUUCAUUCUCUGAGCAGUUCGAGCAAUAGUGGCGAUGGGCUAGUAGGUUUUUUAACAAAUGAGAAUAUGAUUUCCAGCUCUGUGAGUGAUAGUGAUACCAUUUUGCAGUUCAAGAAGGGGCUAGAGGAAGGUAACAAAUUCCUUCCAGCUGGGAAACUAAUGAAUAUUGAUUUAGAUAAGUACACGUUACCCUCAAAGUUGGAGAAUGCGGGUCUCGUGACCACGGGAAAGAAGGAUGAGGAGUAUUUGCGCACUGGAAUGAGAGGAAGGAAGCACCAACACCAGGAUGAUGGUGAUGCACAUCUAGGAAGAAAGUACAAACAGUCUGCUGUUUCUAUGGAAGAGGUUGAGUUGUCAGAGGCAUUUGAUAGAAUAUUGCUUUUUGGUGAUUCCAGAGGGCAAGAUUUAUGUUGUAAUGUUGAUGUUGAGCAGCCAACUCAAUUAUCUGAGGCCUUGGAUCAUGAAUCUGAUGUUAGUAAAAGUACAGAAGAAAGGCUGGGUACUGAUAAUGAAGCUCUUGACCUAAGUGCAUUAUUGCUUAACUGUGCACAUUCUGUUGUAGCUGAUGAUCGUAGGACUGCAAAUGAUCAACUAAAGCUAAUUAAACAACAUGCUUGUUCCACUGGUGACCCACAGCAGCGGUUGGCCAUUUUAUUUGCCAAUGCUCUUGAGGCACGCUUGGCAGGCAAUGGACCUGAGCUUUAUGCCACGGUAAAGUCCAAGAGGAGGUCAGCCGCUGAGGAGUUAAAAGCCUUCAGGGUUUAUCUUUGUGCUCCUUUCAGGCAGAUUGCUUCUUGCUUUGCAAACAAAAUGAUCCUUAAAGCAGCAUCAAGGGCUAAAACACUUCACAUUGUUGAUUUUGGCAUUGGCUACGGCUUUCAGUGGCCCAGCCUCAUACAACAGCUUUCUAAUAGAGAUGGUGGUCCUCCCAAGCUACGCAUUACUGGAAUAGAAUAUCCCAAACCUGGAUUUCGGCCAGCAGAAAGAAUAGAAGAGACGGGCCGUCGCUUGGCAAAAUACUGUGAAAGGUUUAAUGUACCUUUUGUGUACCAAGCAAUUCCAAUAAAGAAUUGGGAGAAAAUUAGACUUGAAGAGCUAAAGCUUACAAGAGAUGAGGUAAUUGUGGUGAACUGCCAGCUUCGUUUCAAAAACAUGCUUGAUCAGGUAGUGGAUGGUGAUUGUCCAAGGGAUGCAGUUUUAAGAUUAAUCAGAGAGAUUAAUCCUGCUAUUUUUGUGAGUGACGUUCUUAGUGGACAACUUUGUGCUCCCUUUUUCCUCACUCGGUGCAGAGAAGCACUCUUUUUUUUCUCUGCAGUGUUUGAUUUUCUUCACCAUAAUCUGCCACCCGAUGAUAAGCAGAGGUUGAAAUUUGAACAAGAAUUUAUGGGAACGGAAGUGAUGAAUACCAUUGCAUGUGAGGGCUCGGAGAGGGUUGAGAGGGCUGAGACAUACAAGCAGUGGCAAAUCCGUUAUAAGAGGGCUGGUUUCAAAAUGCUGCCUCUGAAUCAGGAUCUUAAGAAAGAAUUAAGAAGCAAAGUUAAAGAAGGGUACCACAAAGAUUUUUUAUUUGAUGAAGAAGGUGGUUGGAUACUCCAGGGGUGGAAAGGCAAGAUUAUCACAGCUUGCUCUUGUUGGGUCCCUGCUUAGACCCUUUUUUUUAAGUUUUUUUUUUUUUUUUUUUACAUUAGAAUCCUGGUGCUGCCAUGGAUGGUGUGCGGGAUAUGCAAAUUGAUGUGCUGUAGUUGAUGCUGCCUGUUAUAGGCUUGGUUUGGACGGGCUAGAGUAGUGAAAUUGCAGUACUGAUGUCCUUUUCCGGUGUUGCUGAAAAUUGGAUUUGUCAAGAUGUGAUGUUAAUCAGUCAUGGGCUAUCUGAUCGUAAAAUUAUCUUAUAGAUACCACUAUAUAUUCUAGUCUAAACUCAUGCAUCAGUUAUCUUAGGCUUCUAGGAUGACAAUGAAUGACCAUUGAGAUUUCCAAAAGAACUCAGGAAUCUUCAGAACUUGUAAUAUGGAGUCGAUGCCAUUGACAGGUUUCUUGUGUACUUCUGGUUCAGGAUGGAAAAGAUGCUAGUGUUUCCAAUGGCAAUUGAAAAUCUGAAAUCCAUUUAUCCAAGACCUUGUGCAGAGACUGUAGUGCUGGUCAGAGAGUAGGAUCUGCAUCUUGGAUGCAUCCUAUUUUUACCAAUGUAUGGAGCUCAAAUGUUCUAAUAAAUACUUUCUGAGAUGAGAAGUGCUCCCUGAAUGCUGAUCUUACCAGGAUAUGGGGUCACUGAAACAGGGAGGUUGUAGCCAUCCACUAUACUUACGUCGUAGAAACUCGGCUGCCUCUUGUCAACCUGCAACGUAAACUCUACUAGCGUCACAGGAGGAACGCCGAUCACCCCGGCGCAUUCGAGUCGCCCGUUGCAGUCGCCUGUUUCACAGGCUCGUCCGUCGUUGAAGUAGUCGAAAUUGCAGCCUGUUCUGGCCCAGAUGCGGCCACUCGAAUCUCCUGGUGCCUGGAAUUUCCGGAGUCUCCCGGAUGGAAGAUAGAAGCCACCGUUUGCUACGACUGGAAAGCCUUGGUUCGGGGCAGUGGCAGGCCAUAUGGGAAAUGGGCACUUGUUGCUCACGUAAAAAUGUGCAUGCUUCCACAACUCCACUACUGCCUAUGGGUUACGUUAAACUAUAAACGAUGCAAAAGAAGAAUGCUUUUUCAUUUAUUUGGUGAGUAUCUGAAUGAAUUUUUGUUGUUAUUGUAGGAGGCAACAAAUUAAAACAAAUCUUGCUACCAUCAAUUGAGUAAUAGGUAUUUCUUGCUUCUUUUUAGCUGUUAGGUUAUUC